UAGGGGAUCUUCCACAAUGGGCGAAAGCCUGAUGGAGCAACGCCGCGUGUGUGAUGAAGGGUUUCGGCUCGUAAAACACUGUUGUAAGAGAAGAAUGACAUUGAGAGUAACUGUUCAAUGUGUGACGGUAUCUUACCAGAAAGGAACGGCUAAAUACGUGCCCG
rnacentral:rRNA from 1 species